AUAGACCAGGCUUCCUCUUUAGAGGCAUAAGCUGUAAAACAGGAGAGUCUGUUUUAAGAGGAUCUGUUUGAAGUUUAAUGUAACUGAAGUCCAUGCACCUGAAGCCAUUAAUUGAUAUAAGUGAAGUAAGUCUUUGGGUUUCCGGUAGCUCUGACUCAGAUUCUGCUUGCCUCUUCUCCAUGAGAUUACCAAGGCAUCAGGGCAGAGACUCCCUGAGGCUAUGCUAGAAGGGUACCAUUUGAAAAGGAAGUGUAUGACCCACCGUGAAAUGGAACUGGUAGCUGGUCACCCAGGUGCUCUUCCUUGUUAACUGAUGAGAGCGAUUAUUAUGUGAGAACUUUAACAACCUGCCAAAGGAUCCCGGGGCAAGAAUGAGAGCUGAACCAUUGAAAAGCUGAGCAUCGAAGUGCCUGGGAAGCCCAAAACUCAGCACAUUCAUGCUUUUGCUGGUUUUUGACCAUUGAGAAGAAAAAAGAGUCAGCAACCAGGGAGCAGCCUCUUCUAAAAUGGUGUGUUUAUUAUGAAGUGUUCUUGGAAGUUUUCUUAUGUCAUCUGAAUCAAUAUAAUAUCAGACCUAUCAAGAUCUAUUUUUAAAGGAUACUCUGGGAAAAGCUUCAUGCUUUCAAAACACUGAAUUUCAGGGAGGUCCUCGGCAAAAUCAUGAAACGAAUUUGAAUCUUACCCUUCGUUCAGGUUUCAGUCUGUGACCUUGGACCCAGAUUCCAUGAAUAGAACAUUGUCCUCGCAGGGCAGAGGCUCAAUAACUGGACAUUUUCUGGGUCCCUGAAUUUGUACAAUGAGAUAUCAACUCCAAUCUGUGAGCACAAUGCUCCAGUGACUGCCAGGAAUGGCUGCAAUAUUGAUGCCUUUCAAUGUAGAUCACAUCAUUCACCGAGCAGAGCUCAAUAAAAUGAUACUGUAGUUAACAA
rnacentral:lncRNA from 1 species